AUAACGGAAUGUUUGUGUAUUUUUUGUAGGAACAUCAAAGUCUUACACCCAUAUUCGGGACCCUGUAACUGGAUUGAAAAAGUUUCAAUGUCAUUGUGGAGCAUCCUACAGACACUUGCCGAGUCUAUACAGCCAUCAAAAGUCACACAAAGGCCUCACGACCUGUGCAGAAUGUGGGAAGACUUUCAAAGGAAGCACCGGCUAUCGUGCUCACUUAAUACUGGUGCACGGCACCCAAGAAACUUGACUGCUCCCGUGGAUAAGUGACCUUAUUCCAUUGAGAAAAAACUGUCAUUAUAUGGAUUUCUGCAGAGUCUGGCACAUCAAUUACGUACACGAUUGUGUUAGGCCAUGAUACUGGGCGGAAGAAAUUUCGAUGCCAUUGUGGAGCAACCUACAGACACAUAACGAGUCUAUACAACCAUCAAAAAUCGCACAGAGGCCUAACGACCUGUCCGGAAUGUGGAAAGACUUUCAAAGGAAGCACCGGGUAUCGUUCCCACGUAAUGCAUGUACAUGGUAUGCGAGAGAUUUGAUGCUUGGAUAUCGAUGGACAGUUUAUUCGGGCAACUUCACUGACAAACUAUUUAUAUUGAUUGCUGAAGUCGAAAAUAUGUAGUUCAUGCAUCAUUACUGAUCUCAGAAAUGUUCCAUUUUUCUCUUAAAGAAGUCAUAAAGAAAUGAAUCAGUUUCAAGAGCAAGUGAGGUACAUGCUUGUCUCCUUUAAUUUGAACCCUAUAUUCAGCCCUGAAAAAGAUUCAUUUUCUUCUUGAAUUAUGUUAAAUAUGCUCGGGUAUCGAGUCCUCUCAUUUUCUUUAUAACUGUUUUUUCCUUUCUUCAAAAUUGUAUAUUGUAUCUGAUCCUAGAUCAGUAGACCACUUCCUCUCGUCAUGCAAUGGACUACUAGACAAGGUACGAAGUCAAGCAUUCUGAUACAUGUUUCUUAACCAAAAUUUAACGUAAAACACGAUUCAAGCAGCGAAAAUUAUUUAAAUUGACUCUUAAACAAGAUUUUUAAUGUUACUUGACGCGUGAAUUCAAACCUCCCGCUCAUGUAAACACAAUGGUCUACGUACUUCAGAUCGCAAACUGAACAUUACCGUGGCAGUCUCUGCGAUACGAAAAUAUGGAUUUCUCAAUUUUGACGCUUUAGCUCAGUCGUAGCAAAUUGUUUAAAUUUUGAACAAUACAGAGUGAAAAAUGAACAAUAUUCGAUUGAGGAACCUGCCAAAACCGUUGUAGUACUGUGUUUUUCGUGACCGGACACUUCAAAUCUCCCGUAACCAGUAUAAAAUUAAAACGGAAAUAUCUUAGUUAGGAGUUGAUAUCAAUAAUUUUAGAUGCAAAAAUCGUGUUCUAUGUGAGAUUCUGGUCGAGAAGCAUGUAUCAGAAUGCUUAAAUUCGUACUUUGCCUAGUGGUCAAUCCUAAUGUACUGAACUGUAACAAGUAUGUCGUCCAUUUGAGAAGAAGCAUUUCUAAUUAGUAGCUUGAUUUACCAUUAAUAAUUUAUGCCAUCCUGUAGUACAAUUGAAUCCAAUAAAGACAAUUUAUCGGUUUAUUUCGCCUAUAA